GUGAACGCUGGCGGUAGGCCUAACACCUGCAAGUCGAACGGCAGCACCGUAAGAGCUUGCUCUUACGGGUGGCGAGUGGCGGACGGGUGAGGAAUACAUCGGAAUCUACUUUUUCGUGGGGGAUAACGUAGGGAAACUUACGCUAAUACCGCAUACGACCUACGGGUGAAAGCAGGGGAUCUUCGGACCUUGCGCGAUUGAAUGAGCCGAUGUCGGAUUAGCUAGUUGGCGGGGUAAAUGCCCACCAAGGCGACGAUCCGUAGCUGGUCUGAGAGGAUGAUCAGCCACACUGGAACUGAGACACGGUCCAGACUCCUACGGGAGGCAGCAGUGGGGAAUAUUGGACAAUGGGCGCAAGCCUGAUCCAGCCAUACCGCGUGGGUGAAGAAGGCCUUCGGGUUGUAAAGCCCUUUUGUUGGGAAAGAAAAGCAGCAGGUUAAUACCCCGCUGUUCUGACGGUACCCAAAGAAUAAGCACCGGCUAACUUCGUG
rnacentral:rRNA from 1 species